UACGUAGGUGGCAAGCGUCACUCGGAAUCACUGGGCAUAAAGGGCGUGUAGGCGGAUGCGUAAGUCCGGUGUAAAAGCCCCCGGCUCAACCGGGGAAAGCCAUCGGAUACUGCGUGUCUCGAGUGCGGGAGGGGAGAGUGGAACUCUUGGUGGAGCGGUGAAAUGCGUAGAUAUCAAGAGGAACGCCGGUGGCGAAAGCGGCUCUCUGGCCCGUGACUGACGCUGAGGCGCGAAAGCUAGGGGAGCAAACGGG
rnacentral:rRNA from 1 species